rnacentral:lncRNA from 1 species
AACUGAGUGAAUAAUCAACAGGCCCACGUGGAAACUCAAUUUUAGCUGAGGGACUCCAGAACAUCCACUUGUGUACCAGGGGAGAAAACCAAGACAAUGCAGUAUGAGAAAUUCUUCUUCUUUGGAACUCUCUGAGCGUCCUGGAUUUGGAUGUCUGUUUCUUGCACCAGUUGUGUGGGACCUAUGAAUGCAAGCCCUGCUGGUCACCAGAGCCAGGCAUUUGAGAGAGGGAAUUGCUCCAUGUGUAGCUGUAGAUUUGGUGUGUCCUUGGGAAGAGGUAAGUUCAGGAGCCUCCUAUGUGGCCAUCUUGGACCAGAACUCUGAAAAUUAAUGAAAAUCAAAGAAAGGAGUUUUGUUGAAUCUUCUAAGGGAAAUAAAAAUGGAAAUAUAAUCUCUCAGUAAAAAUUCUUUUAAAGUUAAAUCCAUUAUAUAGACUUUUUGUGACAAAAGCUUAAAGAGAAACAAUUAUUGGCACAGAAUUACCAUUAACAGAAGAAC